rnacentral:rRNA from 1 species
AACGAACGCUGGCGGCGCGUCUUAAGCAUGCAAGUCGAACGGCAAGGAAGUGCUUGCACUUCCCUAGAGUGGCGGACUGGUGAGUAACACGUGGGUGACAUACCUUUUAGUUGGGGAUAGCUAUUAGAAAUAGUAGAUAAUACCGAAUGUGACCAUUGCAGUUAGAGUGCGAUGAGGAAAGGAGCUAAGGCUCCGCUAAAAGAUUGGCCCGCGGCCCAUUAGCUAGUUGGUGAGGUAACGGCCCACCAAGGCAAUGAUGGGUAUCCGGCCUGAGAGGGUGAUCGGACACAUUGGGACUGAGAUACGGCCCAGACUCCUACGGGAGGCUG